rnacentral:tRNA from 1 species
AUUGGUGAUUCCCGACCACCUCUAGUGA